CUUUACUGAACAUGUACGUGCCUAGGAAGUCUCAGGAAUGGGUAAGUGCUCCUGCUCCCACACAGUCUACAGACCUGGGUGCAAUGGUGAGAAAGACCUCAGUAAAGCAAAGGAAUUACGAAAGGGAGAGGAUUCGGAAUCACACCGUCAGUUCUCCUGGUUCUCAACCCUUCAGAGACAGACUGAAUUACACCACCAGCUUUCUUGGUUCUCCAGGAUGCAGAUGGCAUUAACAUGAGACUCCUUUACCUCCAUGACUGUGGAGGCAGCAGCUGAGGCUGUGGUGGGAGAAGAAUGACAAGAACUGAGCGUGGGCCACGGGCUCUUACCUUCAGCAACUUCAUCAGCUCUUCCAGCUGGACCAUCAGCUCCCGCCUGCUCUCCUGCAGGGCCGACAUCCUCUGCUCCAGUUCAUCCUUCCUUUGCCUAUCCAAGACG
rnacentral:lncRNA from 10 species